rnacentral:rRNA from 1 species
CAGUCGCCGCGGUAAUACGUAGGGUCCGAGCGUUGUCCGGAAUUAUUGGGCGUAAAGGGCUCGUAGGCGGUUUGUUGCGUCGGGAGUGAAAACCCAGGGCUUAACUUUGGGCUUGCUUUCGAUACGGGCAGACUUGAGGCAUUGAGGGGAGAACGGAAUUCCUGGUGUAGCGGUGAAAUGCGCAGAUAUCAGGAGGAACACCGGUGGCGAAGGCGGUUCUCUGGCAAUGUUCUGACGCUGAGGAGCGAAAGUGUGGGGAGCGAACAGGAUUAGAUACCCGCGUAGUCCCUGUCUCUUAUAC